UCCCGUGUGUCGUCGUUGCGAGUCUCGAGAGUAGUUGCUCGUGCUGAGGACACGCUGGCGGCGUGCUUAACACAUGCAAGUCGAACGCUGAAGCUUGGUGCUUGCACUUGGUGGAUGAGUGGCGAACGGGUGAGUAUCACGUGAGUAACCUGCCCCUGACUUCGGGAUAAGCCUGGGAAACUGGGUCUAAUACCGGAUAUGACCAUCUUUCGCAUGCUGGGUGGUGGAAAGUUUUUCGGUUGGGGAUGGGCUCGCGGCCUAUCAGUUUGUUGGUGGGGUAAUGGCCUACCAAGACGACGACGGGUAGCCGGCCUGAGAGGGCGACCGGCCACACUGGGACUGAGACACGGCCCAGACUCCUACGGGAGGCAGCAGUGGGAAUAUUGCACAAUGGGGGACCCUGAUGCAGCGACGCCGCGUGGGGGAUGACGGCCUUCGGGUUGUAAACCUCUUUCAGUAGGGAAGAAGCCUUUGGGUGACGGUACCUGCAGAAGAAGUACCGGCUAACUACGUG
rnacentral:rRNA from 1 species